GGGCAUAGCUCAGUGGUAGAGCACCUGCUUGGCAAGCAGAAGGUCCAAGGUUCAAUCCCCAGCAUGUCCA
rnacentral:tRNA from 1 species